CGCCUUCAUGCUGCGUAUUCACUUUUGGAAACCAGUGUAUGCUACGUCAUUAAAAGUAUAGGCUGAAUACUUUGUAGCUUUCCUGACACUGAUUGUACUAUCUUGAUCAUGGGAACUGUAUAAGUAACAGUU